CGGUGACAACCGGCGUCCUCAGAGACGAUGGAGGCACGGCGGCGGCGCUCCUCCUCUGACGCGGCUUGACGGCGAUCCCGUGGCAGCUGACCGCAACGGAUCCGGCAGCACAGGCAGAGAUUGGACGGAGCGGCAAAGGCACAAAUCCUCCUC